rnacentral:rRNA from 1 species
GACGAACGCUGGCGGCGUGCUUAACACAUGCAAGUCGAACGAAGUGGCGAACGGGUGAGUAACGCGUAAUCAACCUGCCCUUCAGAGGGGGACAACACUUGGAAACGACUGUUAAUACCGCAUAGUGAAGGAGGGGAAUGCGUCUGAUUAGCUAGUUGGAGGGGUAAAGGCCCACCAAGGCGAUGAUCAGUAGCCGGUCUGGGAGGAUGAACGGCCAAAUUGGGACUGGGAAACGGCCCAGACUCCUACGGGGGGGAGCAGUGGGGAAACUUCCGCAAUGGACGAAAGUCUUGCGGAGCAACGCCGCGUGAGUGGUGACGGGCUUCGGGUUGUAAAGCUCUGUUAAUCGGGACGCGGUACCGGAAUAGAAAGCCACGGCUAACUACGUGCCAGCAGCCGCGGUAAUUC